UACGAAGGGGGCUAGCGUUGCUCGGAAUCACUGGGCGUAAAGCGCACGUAGGCGGACUCUUAAGUCGGUGGUGAAAUCCUGGAGCUCAACUCCAGAACUGCCUUCGAUACUGGGAGUCUCGAGUCCGAGAGAGGUGAGUGGAACUGCGAGUGUAGAGGUGAAAAUUCGUAGAUAUUCGCAAGAACACCAGUGGCGAAGGCGGCUCACUGGCUCGGUACUGACGCUG
rnacentral:rRNA from 1 species